UGACCCGAUCAAAUCGGCCCGUGACCCGAAACGACCCUACUUGGGCCCUACAACAGCCACGUAAAGUUUCGGGAUGAUCCGACGUUCUUUCAUGGGGUUACGGACAAUCCACGCCAAACAAGCGUCACGGGCCGACCGAGCCGGGCCAACGGGCCCUCGGGACCCGAAAACUGAAUUUUUUUUCAUCCAAACCCAUUAAAACACGUUACCGAGGUCUCACGCAAAAUUUCAUGCCAAUCCGACGUCGUUUGAUGGGGUUUUGAAAAAUUAUGAUUCCUCAAAAAUUUAAUGUCUGUUCCUGUCACUUAGCUUUUUGUGCAAAAUGUAUAUAUAGGGGAGGGGUGGGUGUUGAGCAGCCCAUGCCCGGGCAAGGCGUGCCAGCGCCCAAGCCAAAGGAGGCUGGUGGCGUGCGUAUAACAGCUCAAAUGCCCCAACGAUGACCGAGAACAAGCGCCCAUCUCCCCUCCUUCCCCCCCACCAAGCGCCCCUCCCCCCCAUGUUGCCUGCCCACUCGCACAGCUACUCGUGAUUUCAUGCCCAGCGACUAGUGAAUGUGCCUCGACGACCAGCAAACCUCGAAAAUUAUGAUUCCUCGUAAAAUUAAUGUCUGUUCCUGUCACUUUACUUUUUGUGCAAAAUGUAUAUAUAGGGGAGACCAGGGGCUUGAGCAACCCCUGUGCCCAAGCAAGGGUCAGAUGGAAGCACACGAGACGCGAGGUUUAAAGCCUAUACAAGCAAGGCGUCUGUCUCCCCAAGCCCCAUUGCCUAUAAAACAAGCCCGAUGCCUUGUAAAUGCCCCACACGAUGCCUAUAAACGACAACGAUGUUUGCUAGUUAAUCGAUCGACGCCCCACACCUUGCAGCAUGUUGCCUAGUAAACAAGCCAUGCUGCCUUGGAAGCGCCCCACAUCAUGGCAUGUUGCCUAGCACGCUGCCCUUGUUUCCCGCACGGCGACCUGAAAGCGUGGCCUGACGACGUGCUUGCCUUCGAAAAUUAUGAUUCCUCAAAAAAU
rnacentral:rRNA from 1 species